UGAUCUUGGCAAAGCCCCUGGAAGUUUUUCCUUAGUGUUCUUGCCUGGAUGUGGGUGGAACGGAUCCCUCUAGUUUUUACCUGUCACGUGACCCGGGCCGGGACCAACGGAACAGUGCCUACCUCUAUCCCCCGCCAUUGGUUCCCAUCCAGUCAGAAGCGGAGCAGCUCAACUCGCUGGCAUGGCGUAAACAACUGUUGUUCCCAGGGAGCAGAUCUGAUUGUUUUCCUCUAGUGCCCAGCCUUGUUCAUGUCUGUAAGUUAAAAGUUUUGGAAGUUGAACAGCCCCAUGGAUCGGUUAGUGACAAGGAAACCAUCUCCGAGAGCGAACGGCACAGGCCCAAGCCAGCAACAUCUGGGGGUUGUUGGCGCGGAAGGUGCAAGCCCAGCUUUUCCUCACACUGCAGCUGGGGCUCCUUCUCCUCUGCUUUGCGGGUCCUCCUGGGGGAAAGAAAAGUCCAGAAGAACUCUAAGUUCCCAGAGUGGGUCAGAGGCCAAGAGAGUUCUGUUCCAAUUUUCAUUCUGCCUCUUACCAGCUUUAGCCUUUUGUGAGUCACAGAUUUCCCAGGAUCUCAUUUGUGCAACUAGAAGAUCGAAUUAAAACAGUAACAGGAAUGUGGCAAGGUUCUGGAUUUUCCUCUUCGAUUCUUCCAGCCAGCGUCUAUUGAACUGCUCCUGGGCGCCAGGUGCUAGGGUCCUCUGGCAUUAGGCUGUGAACAAGAGGCUUUCGCUGUCCCUACAAAAUUACACUCCAGCAGAUGUGAUUGAUACAGAUGAGCACAAGCACUGGUGAAGCAUGUAGAAAAACCUUUAAUUCAGACUAGGAGGUAAAGGAGGGCUUCUCAGAGGGGGUGACACUCACACAGAGCAAGGCGACUGCUACCUGCACGGAUCUUCCAAGACGUGUGCUCAGCACCUGGCACAUGGGCUCUUUCCCUUCCUGAGACUGGAAGUGGAGGACUCUGAAACCCAAGGAGAUGGGAUAGCCACGGGACAAGGGAUCCUGAGCCCCCAGAUCAUCAUAAGGAGAAAAGCCAUCUACGGACUAGAAACACCCUCCUUGGAUUGUCACAUGAAUGAGAAAUAAAUCUUACUGUGCCAUGAUG